rnacentral:lncRNA from 1 species
GUAAUCACAAGCCCUUAAAAGGAGGGAGAGGGAGGCAGAAGAGGCUGAGUCGGAAGGAGAUGGGAGUACAGGGUAAUGUUCAGAGAGAUGCAAUAUUGCUGGUUUUGAAGGUGGAGGAAGGGGGCCAGAGUUAAAGAAUGUGGGUGGCCUCUAGAGGCUGGAAAAAGCAAAGAAAUGGAUUCUUCUCCGGAAAAGAAUGGAACCCUGCUGACACUUUAAUUAUAGCCCAGUGAGACCAAUGUUGGACUUCUGACCUACAGAACUAGCCUCCACACUACAAGCACCUACAGCUCUGUCUGGACUUUCCCUCUGGCUGUAGGAACACAUCCAAUCUGCAUGCACAGCAGGCUGGAAGUUUCUGAGAGUCAGUGCACCUCAGACAGUUGUGAAUGGGAGUUGGAGCGUAAAUCUCCUGGUUUCUUACCUUUCAAAUGCUACAACUUUGAGAUUGAGCGUGCGGCGUGUGAGGCUGCCAAAGCUUGGGCCACUUCUCAGAGCGAAUGUCCCAAGUUACAGUAUAGGAUCCUCCGUGUCAGCUCACACAGGACCCUCUGGAAGGUUUUUAAGAGCCUUUCUCCUCCAUGACAGAGUGGUGCUUUGGUUUAGAGAGCGUCUUUUCUUUCAAACACAUUU